AACCUAAUUGCUAGGUAAACGAACGCGUUGGUGAAGUCGGUUCGGCGAUUCGUCGAGCCUACGCGAAGUUAUUAAAGAAACAAACGUUUAGGCUUCGUUUCCGCCUGGAGGGCCGAGGCGACGUCGUAAAAUCAUGAAAAUGGAUUUGAAGCAUCGUGGCACAUAACCGAAGACCUUUAAUUUUUGGAUCAUGAAUUGGAGGCCGUUCGGGUGGUCGCGCGAGAGAUCGGACCAAAGCGGGUGCCGGGUGCCGCGGGAGGCCGAUUGCAAGUGUCGACAAGCAAUCGGAAUGCGAUAAAAGGUGGGGGGUGUCAUCCCGAAGCAACUGAGCUUCCUUUUAUGUCUAAAUUCUAUAUCUUGAUCAUAUUCCUAUAUGUUGAUAUAUUGUGCAUUAUAGGAUUAGUAGAUGAUUACAUUUCCAUUCCUUGCAUGUUACCUAGGUUGUGUAGCAUUGUGGGCUUGACACUUGAUCUUAGGUUGCAUGAGGAUUGGGUCUUGUGACAAGAAUCCUAUAGUGACAAGAAUGAUGAUGAACUUGGACAUGUAAUUGGCCUAGACGAGUGGCAUUUGGACUAGUGUAACAAAGACACUAUAAUAUUGACGAGUGGCAUGUCGAUUUAGUGUAUUAAGACACAUAUAACAUCAUGACAUAAACGAGUGGCAUCAAAUCUAGUGUAGUGAAACACUAUGGCAUUUGAACCUAGGGAUAGUAGAUUUUCCCGAUUGUCAUGUUGUAGACAUUAUGCAUUUGGCAUUAGUGCAUUUGAGGCAUUGAUUAUGCAUUUGGUAUUGUGCAGCAGAGGCACAUUGACCCUGGUAGAUAGGGUAUCCUCUUGUGAGGAUUGGAUCAUACUCACUAGUCUGUUUUUGCUUGUCGGUGGUCGCUCCACCGAAGCACGAGUCUCCGGAGUACUUCACUAGGGGCAGACGUAGUUGUCCCGCAGACGGUCUCGGUGUGCGAGUGCAGAUUCUCCUCACCUAUGAGAUUGAGAGUGAGUCGGGGUUGACCCCGGGGUGGCAACCUUCAGGUUAGCCAUGAGAUUGGAUACUAUCGAGGCAUAGUUGCACGACGCACUAUGUAGUAGCUCGUUCAUUCGGAUUAUUGAGGCAUAGUAGCAUGUGCAGAUACAUCACUAUGUAGUAGCUCAUUUCCAAGCAGAUUGGGUAAAGAAUAUGAAUGGCAUAGCAGAUUUGCAUUCAUACCUUGAGUUGACAUUGAGACAUAGUAGCAUGUUGUAGAUACAUCACUAUGUAGUAGCUCAUUUCUAUUAUUGUUGAAGCAUAGUAUCAUGAUUAGUAGAAUAUCAUUGCUAUGUUCAUGCAUUCCAUGAUUACAGAGGCAUAGUAGCAUGUGUAUAUUCCAUUACUAUGUAGCAGCUCGUACUUAGUAGAGCGAGAUUGAGUCGGGCAAGGAGCGGGGUAGCUCUUUGUUUAGGACCUUUGAGAUUUGAGAUCUUAGGCAAGUUGGCCUAAUCGAUUGGGUUGUAACAUGAAUAGCAUAAGUGGAUUGCAUUCAUGCCAUGAUUAGACAUAGUAGACUGCAUAACUAUGUUGUAGUUGUAUUUAUUACACUGUUGAAGCAUACUAGCAUGAUAGUAGGUUAUUGCUAGAUGAUGUUCCAUGCAUUCUUUGCAAUUGAUGGCAUGGUAGAUAUAGUAGCAAUGUAUUUCUAUCUACCUUUCUAUCUAUCUAUCUGUGCCAGCUUGGACCUAGUGGGAAAACCGGCGGCGUCGGCGGCCGAACCCACUGGGAACUAUAUUUAUAUAGUUCUCACCCCGUGUGGUUUUGGGGUACAGGUACACACGAGAGCGUACCGGCAGAGGACCGUGGUAAGGGCACAGCGUCCUAGUAGCUAGUAGCUUUCCUUAUGCAUUAGAGUACCCUCGUGUACAUAGAGAUGUAGAUGUAUUUGGAAGUUACUUAUGUAUUUGGAGAGCCAUUUUGUAUUAUGAGAAGAAUAUGUAUUUAUUUGGGAAGAUGAAAAUGUAAACCAAUGUGUAAAGGUUAAAUGUGAUGUAAUAGCUAGAUGUAU
rnacentral:lncRNA from 1 species